rnacentral:lncRNA from 1 species
UAAUCCUUUAAUCAACUUGAUAUGAAAAUUGAAAAUUGAUUGAAAGCAUGCUGAAGUUGUUUGAAUUCAGAAAUUGAAAGAGUACAAAAUUGGUUGAAAGAUUAAAUUAAAUAACAGGUAUGGUUGAGGGAUUAUUUAUAGUUCUAAUUAUAAUUAUUUCUUUUGAAUAGAGUUGUUAUCAGAUUCAAAGAUUGAAGAAGAUAAUUUUUCUUCACAUUUUAUUGAUGAACACCAAGCAAAGUUCACAUUGUCAAAGAGUUUUAAGUUUUAAUAGAUGCAAAAUGUUAUUCUCAAGGAGCUUGCAGAAAUAAAAGUUCUUUUAAAAGAAGUUAUAGAAAUUAAGUUUCAGGCUACUGAGGUGAAGUUGCUAGAAUCGGUGGACGAAGUGGUUACACUGGAUAAUAAACUAAAAGAUAAAACCGAGUAUACUAAUUUGAUAGUUUUAAAAAAGAUUGGUGGUGGAAAGCCAAGAGAACAUGUUUUUUGAUUAUGUUUUUAUUAAUUAUUAGAUAUAUGAUUAAAAGGGACCAAAAGCAAUUCUUUUUGACCGUUAUUUGUUAUGGAUUUACUUUUAACAUGACAAUUUGAUAAACUCGGGAGCUUCGCUGUAGGUGUUUAAGUUUGUUUGUGUGCUAAAGUUAUUUUCGAAUCAGUUACAGUCCAAAUUAAAUCGAAAAGGAAAUAGGGAAAAGAUAAGCUUAGAAAAUCUAGUAAAUAUAUGGAGUGUUUUACGAGGUAUAGUUUUAAUAGUAUUUACAAAACUGAUAUCUGUAUUAAAAAGAUAUUCUUCGACUUUUUUGUGUCAUGCUAGAAUUUUUGUAUCCAUAAUACAAGUUCCUUUAGUU